CCGGGGUCGCGGGGCGGGAAGAAGCGGAGGCCGCUAGCCGGGGGGGGGAGCUGGAGGGGUUGCUAAUCGAGGGCCGGGGAGGGAGAGGCCUAGAAGCAGAGCAGUAAGGCCGGGAGAAAGCGAAGAGGAGGAGAUGGCGUCCCUUGGCCCUCCUCCCCCCCCCGCCUUGUGCCCUUCAGAAGAAGAAGAAGAAGAGAAAGCACGGGGGGGGGAGUUGUUUUCCGAGGGGGUGGAUCCUGCUCCUUCCCACCGCCCAACGAUCAGGAGCAAAACCCCUGGAGGAUCCUCCAACUGAUCCCAUUGUGAGUUGGGAGCCGAGGCAGCAGCCGGUAUAGGAGAGCCCGCGGCUGCUAUACUUUCACAGUGUGUGAAACUCCAGGUAUCAUCUAGAGGUAAUUAAUUGGCCACCCGGGGGGUGGUACAGGUAAGCUCCGCCCCACAUGAUCGAUCACAAUAUGUGGCACCACUUGAAUGGCAAUGCCUGUCAACUUUGGAGGGGCAGCCCCUCAAGUGUUUUAUGGUGCGGGUGGGCUGAAGGGAUCUUGGCCCCUAGGAGUUGGCUCCUAUGGCGGUAUUGGGCUGAUGGGAGGAGGAUCCCAGUUUCCUCACUCUCCUCCACUCAACUAUGGGCGGACCUGACUCAAGCCUCCCUUUGGUAACAAGAGCUGAAAGCACCCUGCUCCACGAGAGGUGUUGCAUUUACAGACAUUUCCCCCCACCC